rnacentral:rRNA from 1 species
CUCGUAGGCGGUCUCGCAAGUUGGAUGUGAAAACCGAAGGCUUAACCUUCGGCCUGCAUACAAAACUGCGAGUCUAGAGUACUGGAGAGGAUGGCGGAAUUCCUGGUGUAGCGGUGAAAUGCGUAGAUAUCAGGAGGAACACCGGUGGCGAAGGCGGCCAUCUGGACAGAUACUGACGCUGAGGGGCGAAGGCUAGGGUAGCAAACA